CCAUAAUCGUUCUGGCUACGGCACUGGCUUGUUGGGAAAUCCGCUCACGGUGAUGAGUGAAAAACAAUAAAUACACUCAAUAAACUGUACAUUAUAUGUUGUACGUUUGUGAAAUAAGCCGGCCACAGUGUAAAAUAGUUACGUCAAUGACAUGCAGGUGAAAGAACAGAAGCUGAGCCCAAAUUGAGAUCAAUCACCCAUAAAAUAUUUCUAAAAAUGAUUGUACCGCUAUAUUGCAAUUAAAAUAGUUCAUACAGGUAAUGCUGUACAUUCAGUUUCAAUCUUCUUAGUAUAAAAAUCCUUCCUAUAUUAAGCUUAUAUACCAUCGACAUAGCCAAUAUUGCUCACAUGAUAAUAGUGGAUACCUGCAUGUUGGUGAAGUAUAUUAGCCAGUCUAUAGGACUGGAUCGAAAUAAAUUCAGUCAUUGGACUGGAUCAACAUACACCUCAGCAUACGUAUGAAUUGGAAAAAACCCAAAUUCUCUGUGUCAACAUCUCGUGUUUAAAACGAUCUAAAACUAGAAAAAUUAUGAUACUUCUUAAACACCCAAAUUUUCAUCCUAUUGCGUUUCAAACCGAUUACCUAUAUCAUUUUUGUGCGCAGGCCAAUUUUUAAGUGGUUUUAAAAAACAGCCCUGCAGUAGUGGUGUCUAAAUUACUUUGAAUUUGUACUCGAGUAAAAGUAGAAGUAAUUAACAAUAAAACGACUUGAGUAAGAGUAAAAAGGAGGCAAAAGUACUUCAAGUAAAAAGUACAAAUUAGUAUCCUUAAAAAAUACUUGAAGUACAAAGUAAAAGUUAAAUUGUCUGUAGGUGGGGGGGGGGNNNNNNNNNNNNNNNNNNNNCAAAAGACACAAAACAGCACACGCAUAUUCAUAAUAUUUCACGGCAUUGUCUACUUUCCAGAUCCCGUUGAAGAUCUAAGAAAUCCAUUAAAUAAAUAAUGCUUAUAAGUAAGCCACAAACGAGAGGUCCUAUUACCUAUCCCAAAAUUAAAAUAAAUCCGGAAUAAAUGACGUAAAAUCAAACAAAAGUUAGAAAGUAACGAAAUACUUCGCCGCAAAAUGAAAAUAACGAAGUAAAACGUUACUUCUUAAAAGGACUUCGUUCCAAGUAAAAGUACUCCAGAAAAAGUUUACUUUGUUACAUGCUCACUUCUCAAAAAUAGUACUCAUGCAAGUACAGUAACGAAGUACAUUUACUUCGUUACUUGACACCACUGCCCUGCAGUCGAAAAUUUUCUUUGUGAUAGAGACUGGCCAGAAGACACCAGUACCACAAGCUAUACCCAUAUUAACAUAAAAUUGUAAAACGUUUUGCGCGCACGUUUUUUGACACACCCUGUUUAAUAGUGACAUUGAGGGACUGUUCCAAAAUAUCAACUCGUAAAUUCAGCUCGACAGGUCUAAUUUAAAAAUCUCAGUUGCCUAGUAUAUACCAUAGACCUUUCUCAUAAUGACGUGAAGCACGGAAAACCAUGCAAUUUAUAUUUUAUUUGAAACAUCAUUUGCAUUCCGAAUUGGUGCUAAAAAUUGUGGCUCUUGGGGCAUCGCAUUAAGUGUUUAUAAUGUUUAAUGAAUUUGAUUUGCUGUUAAAUACAUUAAUUUAACAACACAAGAAUAAUAAAUAAAUAAUCACUGAAAUCACGAUUAAUACAUUAGCAACAAGGAAGCCCAAGAUGAAACAAACAAGCUUAUUUAAAUUUAGGAUCCCUUUGGACAUCAUAUCAAUAACUCGUUAUACAAUACUCAACAGUAUUUAGAGUAGUACGAGAGGUUCAUGGUUUUCAAUAUUUAAAGAAGAAAACAGCUUUGAUCAGUUUUCUGUUUUUCCGUGUUAACGUCAUUUAUAUAAGAAAGUCUAUUUAGCGGUUUAUUUCUGUGGAUUCGGUUUGUGUAUUUAAUGUAAUAUCGUUGCCCUGGCAUGCGG
rnacentral:lncRNA from 1 species